AAAAGAUUCUGACAUACAAUACAGAAAUGUGGUACAUAUUACAAAUAAUACAUAUAAUUAAAACAAGUCAAAAUUAUGCCAGAAAAACAUAUAUUUGCAGUUAAUAUUAGAAAAAGCUAGAAAAAAUAAAAAAAAUCUCAAAAAAAUAAUAAAAAUUUUAUAAAAAUCUAGUUCAAAAUGGUACGUGAUUGAAAUUGAAUUUUAUUUUUACGGACAGAUCUGUUACACAUUUUGUAUCCACCUAAAAUUUGUUUUAACAAAUGAAGAAAAUUCGUCAUAGCCGAAUUGCCAGCCAUUCCUACUUGAUAAACCUAAAAUUUAUAUUUACCUAAAAUUAAUUGCGGAUGAUCCUUUCUAGCGGAACAAAGCUGAUAGA